AUGAGGGGCGAUAUCCAGACGGAGGACAUCGACCUGCCCCUCACCCGCAGCAGCCCCGUCAUGAAGGUGGCGCUCGUGGUCCUGACCGGCGAGCGCGACCUCUGCGGGAGCUUCAACAACAACGUGCUCAAGAAGGUGGAGACCCGCAUGGAGGAGCUCGAGCAGCUGGGCCUCCAGUACACCGUCAUCAGCGUGGGGAAGAAGGGCAACGCCUACUUCCAGCGCCGCCCCUACAUCCCGCUGGAGCGGGGUCUGGAGGUGAAUGACGUGCCCACCGUGAAGGACUCGCAGGCCACCUGCGACCUCGUCUACUCCCUCUUCGUCUCGGAGGAGGUGGACAAGGUGGAGCUGCUCUACUCCGCUGGUGCGCUCCGACCCCAUCAUCUAGACGCUGCUCCCCAUGUCCCCCAAGGGUGA